rnacentral:tRNA from 1 species
GAAGAAAGUAAUCCAAAACUAAGCUUCUAACUUAUGUUUUAAGCAGUGUAACUCUGUUUUUUCUUCU